GACCGAAUGGCGUAGUGGUUAGUGCUCCAGUCCCGGGUUCGAUUCCCGGCUGGGGCA
rnacentral:tRNA from 1 species